rnacentral:lncRNA from 1 species
GGGGGAAACUAGGAGGGUUACUGUGUCAAAUGGGGGGGCUUUGGGGUCUAGGGGGGCAACUGGGGGGUUGUUGACCCUGGGGGUAGUAACUGAGGCAACUGGGGGGGCUCUGGAGAUGAGGGGGACAGUGGGGGAGGCAACUGGGGGCAACUGGGAUUUAGGAGGGGCAGCUGGGAGGGAAGUUGAGGGGUCUCCAUUCCUGGGGAGGGGAGUAGGGGGGGAGUCCUGGGGGAUGGAGGGGGCAGUUUGGGGGUACCUAUAGGGCUUUGGGGGAGGGCUUGUAUUAUAGGGGUCCCUGGAGUCAGACUGGGGGUCCCCAAAUCUAUAGGGGUCCCUGGGAUAGGGCUGGGUGUCCCCAAAUCUAUAGGGGUCCCUGGCCUCAGGUUGGGGUUCCCCAAGUUUAUAGGGGUCCCUGUGGUCGGGCUGGGUGUCCCCAAAUCUAUAGGGAUCCCCUGAGUCAGGUUGGGGCUCCCCAACCCUGUAGGGGUCCCUGGGAUGGGGCUGGGUGUCCCAAAAUCUAUAGGGGUCCCUGUGGUCAGACUGGGAGUCCCCAAGUCUAUAGGGGUCCCUGGGAUCAGUCUCAGGAUCCCCAGAUCUAUAGGGGUCCCUGGGGUGAGGUUGGGGGUCCCCAAAUCUAUAGGGGUCCCUGGGGUGGGGCUGGGGGUCCCCAAAUCUAUAGGUAUCCCCGGGGUCAGGCUGGGGGUCCCCAACUCUAUAGGGGUCUCUGGGAUGGGGCUGGGGGUCCCCAAAUCUAUAGGGAUCCCCAGGGUCAAACUGGGAGUCCCAGGUCCUCUGGGGAUCCCAGGGCUCAGUCUCGGGCUCUGAGGCUCUAUAGGGGUCCCCGGGCUCAUUCUGGGGGUCCCCGUCCCUAUAGGGGUCUCGCAUCCUAUAGGUGUCCAUAUGGGGGUCGUCAUAAGGGUCCCAAGGCCUGGUUUGGGGGUCCCUGCCCCUCCGGAGGCUCCCGGGCUCGGGGUCCUCAUAGGGGUCUGAGGGGGGGGUAUAGGGGUCCCAGGGUCCCCUUGCGGGGUCCUCAUCUCCAUAGGGGUCCAUAUAGGGGUCCCCAUAGAUGUCGGGGUCCCAGGGCUCUGCCGCAGGGUCCCACAGCCCCACGUCAGAGUCUUCGUCCCUAUAGGGGCGGGGGGGGGCCGUGUAGGGGUCCCCAUAGGCCUCAGGGUCCUCCAGGUCCAUAUAGGGGUCCCCAUAGGUGUCGGGGUCCUCGUCCCCAUAAGGGUGGGUGGGGUCAGGGGGGGAGUCACCGUACGCAGGGGGGGCCGGCGGUGAGCGGGGCGAAUCCUUGUGCAAAUCCUCGUGGGAAUCCCCAUGGGAGUCCUCGUGCAAACGCUGGUGCCAAAGUGGGUGCGAAUCCCGAGCGCUGUCUCUGUGCAAGCCUUCAUGCAAAUCCUCGUGCAAGCCCUGGUGCCUGUCUGGUCUCAAAUCCUGGUGCAAAUCCUCAGACGUGUCCCUGUGCAAACCCUGCUGCCAUGCUGGCUGCCACGCCCGCUGUCUUCCUUGGCGCAACCCCUCGUGCAAAUCUUCCAAAUCCUUGUGCAAAGCCUGGUGCCUCCCCGGCUGCAGAUCCUGCUGUAAAUCCUCGUGCAAAUCCUGGUGCAAGUCCCUGUGCAAACCCUGCUGCAGUGCUGGCUGCAACUCGGGUUGCCUGCCUUGGUGCAAAUGCUCGUGCGAGUCCUCGUGCAAGCCCUGGUGCCUGCCUGGUGGCAGAUCCUGAUGCAAAUCUUGGUGCGAGUCCUCGUGCAAGCCCUGGCGCCUGUCCAGCCUCAACUCCCGCAGCAAACCUUGCUGCCAACCGGGUUGCGGGGCCCUCUGCCCGCCUCGGCGCGUGUCCUGGUGCGAGCCCUCGUGCGAGCCCUCGUGCGAACCCUCCGGCGCCCCUCCUCGCCCCGCCGCCCGCCGCAGCCCGGGGGGCCGCCAACCCCCCAGCGGCCUCUUCCUCCGCCGUGGCCCCCGCUGCCAGCCCCGGUGCGAGCCCUGGUGCGAGGCCUCGUGCAAGGCCUGGUGCGAGCGGCGGCGGGGGCGGCAGGCGGCCCCGUCGGGCUGCAGGACGUAGCCGGGGUGGCAGUGACAGGCGAAGCCCCCGUGGUGGUUGAGGCACAUGUGGUGGCAGAUGCGGGUGCGACACUCGUCCCUGUCCCCGCAGCCACCGGCCGCCACCGGCCCGAAGCCCAGGGGACAGGGGGGCUCCGCGGCCACCGCCCC